rnacentral:rRNA from 1 species
UGGGGAAUAUUGGCACAAUGGGCGCAAGGCCUGAUGCAGCGACGCCGCGUGAGGGAUGACGGCCUUCGGGCUUGUAAAACCUCUUUUCACCAGGGACGAAGCGCAAGUGACGGUACCUGGAGAAGAAGCACCGGCCAACUACGUGCCAGCAGCCGCGGUAAUACGUAGGGUGCGAGCGUUGUCCGGAAUUACUGGGCGUAAAGAGCUCGUAGGUGGUUUGUCGCGUUGUUCGUGAAAACUCACAACUCAAUUGUGGGCGUGCGGGCGAUACGGGCAGACUAGAGUACUGCAGGGGAGACUGGAAUUCCUGGUGUAGCGGUGGAAUGCGCAGAUAUCAGGAGGAACACCGGUGGCGAAGGCGGGUCUCUGGGCAGUAACUGACGCUGAGGAGCGAAAGCGUGGGGAGCGAACAGGAUUAGAUACCCUGGUAGUCCACGCCGUAAACGGUGGGUACUAGGUGUGGGUUCCUUCCUUGGGAUCCGUGCCGUAGCUAACGCAUUAAGUACCCCGCCUGGGGAGUACGGCCGCAAGGCUAAAACUUAAAUGAAUUGACGGGGUCAUAGCUGUUUCCU